GUCAACGGCCAUAGCGGGCGGGAAACACCCGGUCUCAUUCCGAACCCGGAAGUUAAGCCGCCCAGCGAUUCGGGUUGUACUCUCGAAUAGAGGGGAAGCCCGAGACGCUGUUGACC
rnacentral:rRNA from 1 species